UCCUGUACUACCGAUAACCGUUUGAGAGAAGGGAUGACACAGUAGGAUAAGCUAAGCACACUGUUGGUUAUGUGUGCCCAAGCAUUGAGGCAGUCAAAGUAGGCAAAUCCGCUUUGAUAAUGCUGGGAUGUGAUGGGGAGCGAAAUUUAGUAGCGAAGUAGCUGAUUUCACACUGUCAAGAAAAGUCUCUAUCGAGGUUAAAGGUACCCGUACCGCAAGCCGACACAGGUGGGUGAGGAGAGUAUCCUAAGGCCAGCGAGAGAACUGUUGUUAAGGAACUCGGCAAAAUGACCCCGUAACUUAGGGAUAAGGGGUGCCACCAUCAGGUGGCCGCAGAGAAUAGGCCCAAGCGACUGU
rnacentral:rRNA from 1 species